CGAUAACGAACGAGACCUUAACCUGCUAAAUAGAUGCGUGAACGCGAGUUCAUGGUGUCUUCUUAGAGGGACAAACCACGUUUAGUGGUUGGAAGUUUGAGGCAAUAACAGGUCUGUGAUGCCCUUAGAUGUUCUGGGCCGCACGCGCGCUACACUGACAAAGUCAGCGAGUGUUCACCUUGACCGAGAGGUCUGGGUAAUCUUGUGAAACUUUGUCGUGCUGGGGAUAGACCAUUGCAAUUAUUGGUCUUCAACGAGGAAUUCCUAGUAAGCGCAAGUCAUCAGCUUGCGUUGAUUACGUCCCUGCCCUUUGUACACACCGCCCGUCGUUACUACCGGAUUGAAUGGCU
rnacentral:rRNA from 1 species